rnacentral:lncRNA from 1 species
CUCUUGGAUCUCUAAAGCUCUAUUAUUUUUUUCUCUAUUUUUUCUUGACUUUCUACUCAAUUUUUUCUCUUAAGACUUAUUCCUGGACCUCCUAUUUAUAGAUGAAUUUUUCACCUUUUUUUGGUAGCAAAAGAAGUCCUAAAACCCUUAGAAUUUGUAUAAUAACCGUAAAAAUUUUUCUUGGCCGUCGGAUCUUCCUUGGAUUGCCCAAAUUUGAUCAAAAAUCAGUUGUUUUCUCCUUAUCAGGGUUGGAUUCAUUCUCAACCAUCCAAUCACACUCUAGAUUGAAUUUUGGCC